AAAAAUAUUUGUAAAAUCUUUCUAGUUAGAGAAAAUAUCUAUACAAUCUUCUACUUCAUAUUUCAGAAUAUUGUUUUCUUAUUUCCCUCUUUUGGAAAAUUAUGUCAUUACAAAUAAGUGUGAGGAGAAUGUAAUAGACAUGAAUGAUAAUAAUAAAAUUAAUUCUCUUUUGAAGUUGGUAUCAUAACUCCCGUUUCCAUUGCAAUAGUAGCCAUUGCCAUUGCUGUCCUGCCACUAUGGCUAUCGCUGUAGCCAUCGAUGUCAUUGAUAGGGAAAAAAGGUGUGCCCAACUACAACGAACAGAAUGGUGGAAAUCGUUGUAGGAAACACGUCGCCACGCGUCGGCACCACGGUUUUGUCGAUGCAUGUAGCCCACGAGCCUAGUUCUAGCGAGACCCACUCGUCUCCACCAUCGCAAAAAGGGUC
rnacentral:lncRNA from 1 species